rnacentral:rRNA from 1 species
UGUUGAUGGGUAGGAGAGCGUCGUGUGGCCAGCGAAGCGGCGGUGUGAACCAGCCGUGGAGGCUACACGAGUGAGAAUGCAGGCAUGAGUAGCGAAAGACAUGUGAGAAACAUGUCCUCCGAAAGACCAAGGGUUCCAGGGUCAAGCUAAUCUUCCCUGGGUAAGUCGGGACCUAAGGCGAGGCCGACAGGCGUAGUCGAUGGACAACGGGUUGAUAUUCCCGUACCGGCGAAGAACCGCCCAAGCUAAUCCAGUAGUGCUAAGUGUCUGAAUCCCACUGACGGAUCCCUUCGGGGUGAAGCGUUGGGCCUAGCGCACGACCCCAUUCUGGUGCGGUUAGCGUAUUAACAGGUGUGACGCAGGAAGGUAGCCCAACCCGGGCGAUGGUUGUCCCGGGGCAAGUGCGUAGGCCGAGAGAUAGGCAAAUCCGUCUCUCAUUAAGGCUGAGACACGAUGCGGAUAAAAAGUGGGUGAUCCUAUGCUGCCAAGAAAAGCAUCGACGCGAGGUUCUAGCCGCCCGUACCCCAAACCGACUCAGGUGGUCAGGUAGAGAAUACCAAGGAGAUCGAGAGAAUCGUGGUUAAGGAACUCGGCAAAAUGCCCCCGUAACUUCGGGAGAAGGGGGGCCAUCCCUUUAUUAGGACUUGCUCCGAAAGGGUGUGGUGGCCGCAGAGACUAGUGGGUAGCGACUGUUUAUUAAAAACACAGGUCCGUGCCAAGUCGCAAGACGAUGUAUACGGACUGACGCCUGCCCGGUGCUGGAAGGUUAAGAGGACCGGUUAGCCGCAAGGCGAAGCUGAGAAUUUAAGCCCCAGUAAACGGCGGUGGUAACUAUAACCAUCCUAAGGUAGCGAAAUUCCUUGUCGGGUAAGUUCCGACCUGCACGAAUGGCGUAACGACUUCCCAACUGUCUCAACCGCGAACCCGGCGAAAUUGCACUACGAGUAAAGAUGCUCGUUACGCGCAGCAGGACGGAAAGACCCCGUGACCUUUACUACAGCUUGGUAUUGGUGUUCGGUGUGGCUUGUGUAGGAUAGGUGGGAGACUGUGAAGCGGUGACGCCAGUUACCGUGGAGUCAUUGUUGAAAUACCACUCUGGUCACUCUGGAUAUCUAACUUCGAACCGUAAUCCGGUUCAGGGACAGUGCCUGGUGGGUAGUUUAACUGGGGCGGUUGCCUCCCAAAAAGUAACGGAGGCGCCCAAAGGUUCCCUCAACCUGGUUGGCAAUCAGGUGGCGAGUGUAAGUGCACAAGGGAGCUUGACUGUGAGACUGACAGGUCGAGCAGGGACGAAAGUCGGGACUAGUGAUCCGGCAGUGGCUUGUGGAAGCGCUGUCGCUCAACG